UACGUAGGGACCAAGCGUUGUUCGGAUUUACUGGGCGUAAAGGGCGCGUAGGCGGCAAUUCAAGUCAGCUGUGAAAUCUCCGGGCUUAACUCGGAACGGUCAGCUGAUACUGCUUUGCUAGAGUGCAGAAGGGGCAAUCGGAAUUCUUGGUGUAGCGGUGAAAUGCGUAGAUAUCGGGAGGAACACCAGUGGCGAAGGCGGCUUCCUGGCCUGUUCUUGACGCUGAGGCGCGAAAGCUAGGGGAGCAAACGGG
rnacentral:rRNA from 1 species